CAAAAAGGUUUUGAGACUGAGAGGCACAUGAGCCCCAGACAGUUUGAUUGCUCAAACAUUUCUCAAAGAUUAGCUGUGUCAAAGCAAGCACCAGGGAGGAUAAAUCACGUGGAUGGAGUUGAGUUUUGUCCAGACUGUUCCAGAAAACGACUGAUUCAAAAGUAAUAUGGAGAUGGCAAUUAGCUGAAGCUGCAUUAUCGCACACUGGAGCGUCCCACGUAGAUGAGGAACAUUUCUUCUGUGCGGUUAAAAUACACUUGCCCUGUCCAAAAACUCACUGGCUGCGAGGCGUUGUAGAGAUGAGCCAGAUGUUUUUCUGCUUUCAAAAGGUCAUUAAACAACUAUUUUUACCACCCCCCCCCCGCCCCUAAAAAAAAGCAGCUUAGAGAAGCCAUCCGUUUUGUCAGUUCUGUUUGCAGAACCCAACGGUUAAAGUUAAGAGAAAAAGAGCAUGAUGAUGAUCAGGAACAGGCUGCCCGGGGCAGUGCUGGAGUCACCAUCCCUGGAGGGUUGGACAGACGGACAUGAGCUUCUCAGGACAUGGGGCAGUGCCAGGGGUGGGUUGUGGUUGGACUAGAUGGUCUUGAAUGUCUUUUCCAACCAAAAUGAUUCUGUGACUCUAUCAGUAGGAAACCACCCUUUAGUUGGGAUGGAUUUCCUGGGAUUGAGCUUCCCUCACCUAGGACUGACCUUUAAGAGCAUUUUCCAGCCCCUCUGUUGUUUUUUUUUUUUACUCAUCUCAGUUUUAUUAAACACAGUAUAAAUAUAGCACAGCUCUUCCUUUGCUCCUUCACACUUGGCCCGUGAAUUUUUUUACAUUGCCACAUGUAAGAGUGAUCCAGUUUGCUCCAGCUUUAUUUACAGCUGCUGUUUGCAACUGUGAGCAGCCUUUGCAGAAACAUGAAUUGGGGAAGAAAACAUGGGGGCACACCUGGGUUUUGCCCCAUUCUCCUCACCCUAAGGCAGAGGAUGGAUCCUGAUGGUAUUUGCCAUGGCCACAGAGGAUGCUCCGGGACACCAAUGCUGCAUAUUUACAGCAAUACCAGCCACAAUCAGACAUGCAGAAGAGAGGAAGAGGAAAAGGAAGAGGAAGAUGCUCUUCUUCCCUUGCCAGAAGUUUGAUGCCGUAUCCCAUGGGAUGUCCAUGGAUCUGCUCUCUCUUCCUCACCCAAACCCAGCCCAUGUCCUGCCCCAUGUCCUUGGCACAUCUCCUGGCAUUUGCUCCCUGCUGUGAUGAACCCACGGAGUAACACCAAAAAAAACCUCCCAGAUACCUACAGGGACAUAAUUUUCUGGGUGAUUAUAUAAAUAACUGGGUUAUUUCACCACGCAUUGCAGCUUAGCUAGAGAUAACUGCACAAAAUGAAGCUAAAUAGCUUAAAGAUGAGAAGGAGUUGGCAAUAAUUUUCUAAUGUUCAGCAAUUUCUAGCGUUCACAUGCAGCAUCACAUUGGUAGGUGUAUUGAGGUGUAGUACAUGCUGUCCUGUUCACAGGGAUGAUAAAAUAUUGUUGGUUUAUGCGGGGAAAGAUGGAAAAUAAGAUAGUUCUGGCAGCAAAAAACCUUUAAGCUUCCUGGGGAGGGAUGCUGGGAAAAGCUGAGUUGCAGCACAGUAGGAUCCUUGUGGAAAGCAGGACAUGCCAAAGGCUCCUGUUUGUGAUUCUGUGACAGAAGAGAUACGGAAGGGAGGAGCAGCAUUUGGGAAGGAAAAUAUUAAUUAAAAAAAGAGUGCUUGGACAGCAAAAUACAGAAGAGAAAAAUUCUCUUCUGCCCUGAGGACUCUCCACUUACAAAGUGAGUAACUAUCCUGAAACAUGGGGCAGCCUGAAUUCUCUGGGAAACACAGGAGCAUCGCUUUGCAGGUCCUGCAUCCCGGCACAGAGAGGCAGCAGUAUGCUAGCUUAGCAAAUUACCCCUUCUGGUAUUUAGAUAGAAUCAUAGAAUCAUUUUGUUUGGAAGAGACCCUCAAGAUCAUUGAGUCCAACCGUUAACUCUGGCACUAAACCAGGCAACAACACUGCAAAGAAAUCUGACAGAAGUAACUUAGAGGCAAUGUCUGUGAUUUUUAAUACAGUGUUUAGGCACCAAAGAUGACCUGAAUAGGAAAAGUGAAGACGACCUGUAUAUGGGACAGAUGUAUUUUCAAGGACAGGCUGGGAUUCACAGCGCUCGCCCCUGGGAGAAGCUCCAUUUAAUUCAGCAGGGCUCCUCCCAAACCUUAUUCACUCAUCAUUCCCAUGUUGGUUCUGAAGAAAUCUUUUCAUCGAAUAUGAAAAGAGAGCACGGAGCUCUAUAUUUACAAAGGGUUGGACUGAAAUGUAAGAAAUUAGUAGUUUCAGCCCAGCUGCUGCCAAGACCUACAUUUCUACAGGCAGGACGUGCAAAUGGGGAGGAGAGCCCAGAAAACUGUGUGCCCUGGUGGGGUUAGUUUUAAUAUCCUCUGGACACCCGUCCUCAAACCAUGGCUGUAAUCCAACUGCAGCAUCUCCUUGGGGAAAGAGCAGCCAAAACUGGUCAUGGAAGCCCAACACCGUGGCCUCAAUGGGGGCUGGAUGGAGAAAUGCCAACCAUAAUGUAGGUACUUGCUGAAAAUAUCAGCUAAAGAGGCUCAGGGGCCAAAGACAUACACACACAGACCCACGUACAUGGGUAUAUAGAGAGAUGGAGAUGAUGAUAGAGAUGGAGAUGAUGAUAGAGAUGGAGAUAUGGAGAUAGAUAGAUGAUAGAUAGAUAGAUAGAUGUGGGAAAAUCUCGUCUGUGAAUCACUGUCUUUAACAAGGUAGUUCAUUCCUUCUGGGAAUUAAAUCCAAAUGAUUUUAUUUGCUCAGUCUUAUCUGUUAGGCUUAGUGCUUGGCAAACCACAGAAGGCUGGUCUUGUGGCAUUAGCAGGCAAAUAACAAAAGAUGCUUUAAUAAUGAUACAGCCAAGCGUAAGGCAAUGAGAUGUAGCAGGGGGAAUUGCUGCUGUUUGUGUAAGGAAGGUUCUGAGUGUUCUCGUGUUGGAAAAUAGUUGGAGGUGUCUAAAUGUGAAGAACAUGUAACUUGGGAUUUGUCUCUUUGCCUGGCAGAACCUCUCCCAAAUAAUUAAUCAUUGCUGUAUAUAGGCUAUGAUUCACGCUGGAGGAAAUGAUGAAUUUCGGACCACACUGCGCAUUUCCCACAGUCCUUUUUAUAUCAAACGAUUAUUCCAUAUUCUUUGUUUCAGCUGUGAUGAGAAAAUAAUAGGUGAUUGAAUCAUUUCCCCUUAUCUUCAAGUUAUCACAUUAAACGUGCGCUCAACUGUCUCA